GACGAACGCUGGCGGCGUGCCUAAUACAUGCAAGUUGAGCGCUGAAGGAUGGUACUUGUACCCACUGGAUGAGCAGCGAACGGGUGAGUAAGGCGUGGGGAAUCUGCCUUUGAGCGGGGGACAACAUUUGGAGACGAAUGCUACUACCGCAUAAAAACUUUAAACACAAGAUUUAAGUUUGAAAGAUGCAAUUGCAUCACUAAAAGAUGAUCCCGCGAUGUAUUAGCUAGUUGGUGAGGUAAAGGCUCACCAAGGCGAUGAUACAUAGCCGACCCGAGAGGGUGGAUGACCACAUUUGGAAUGGGACCAGGCCCAAGCUCCUACGGGAGGGAGCAGUAGGGAAUCUUCGGCAAUGGACGAAAGUCUGACCGCGCAACGCCGCGUGAGUGAAGAAAGUUUUCGGAUCGUAAAACUCUGUUGGUAGAGAAGAACGUUGGUGAGGGUGGAAAGCUCAUCUAGUGACGGUAACUACCCAGAAAGCGACGGCUAACUACGUG
rnacentral:rRNA from 1 species